rnacentral:rRNA from 1 species
AUUGAACGCUGGCGGCAGGCCUAACACAUGCAAGUCGAACGGUAACAGGAAGAGGCUUGCUUCUUUGCUGACGCGUGGCGGGGGGGUGAGAAAUGUCUAGGAAACUGCCUGAUGGAGGGGGAGAACUCGUGGAAACGGUAGCUAAUACAGCAUAAAGUCCCAAGACCAAAGAGGGGGGGAUUCUGGCCCCUUGCCCUCGGGAGUGCCCCGAUGUGGGAUUAGCUAGUUGGGGGGGUAACGGCUCACCGAGGCGACGAUCCGUAGCUGGUCUGAGAGGAUGAUCAGCCACACUGGAACUGAGACACGGUCCAGACUCCUACGGGAGGCAGCAGUGGGGAAUAUUGGACAAUGGGCGCAAGCCUGAUGCAGCCAUGCCGCGUGUAUGAAGAAGGCCUUCGGGUUGUAAAGUACUUUUGUCGGGGAAGAAGGGAGUAAAGUUAAUACCUUUCCUCAUUGACGUUACCCACAGAAGAAGCACCGGCUAACUCCGUG